rnacentral:lncRNA from 1 species
GGAAGGUUCCCUGAGAGAGCACGAUGCUUGCCUGCCAGAAGACCUCGGCAUGAGGAUUUCCAGGGACCAGAGCUGCCCUGGCCCCAGCCUCCCAGCUGAUGGCAGAAAACCACUCCUUCGGUUCUUCACCACCAGCACCAGGCCUGAUGGAGCCCAGGGCUCAGGAAUUCAGCUGAGGGCACCGGCUGUGUGCCAGGCCCUGGAGUCAGAUAAUCCAGGCUGUGCUCAGAUGCUGCCCAAGCUGGGAGCUCCACCCUGGGCUCCAUCCACCACCCAAAGGUGGUGGUACCUGAGGAGGCCCUUCCUUUUAUCCUUAGUCUAAGACCAUUUCUGACCCUGCUUUUCCCACUAGUCUGGGUCUGGCUGACUGGAUGCCCCUCUGAGAGAAGCCAGAGUCCAAAAUCAAGGUGUCCGCAGAGCUACUUUGCCAGAGGUUUGGUCUCAGGAUCUGGAGUGGUCAUUCUCCCCCUACCGACCGAAGUUAUGCCCUCUGAAUUGUCCUUUGAAAGCUUCUCCGUGUCCCCACCCUGCCCUACUCUAUUGAUAAGGACAAGGUGGCAGAGGUCCUGUGCCCCGGGUUGGGUAUUUCCAGAUGAUUCAGAAAAAAAGUGAUGGAUGCCCCAAUGGUCUACACAGGAAAGGAGGAUUUCUGGCACCUCAGGUCACAUUUGGAGCUGGAAGGGACCCGAAGAGAGCCUCUCCUCACCCCAGCCACACAGAUGAGGAAACCGAGGUCCAAGACAAAGACAUGAUUUCCUCACUGUAACAGAAAGGCAGGCCAUGGCCAAGGACCUCACACUCUGGGCCUUUCUUAGGGUUCUGGGGUCCCACUCAGAAGGGAAGACUCAGAUCAGGAAAUGCAGAUGGACUCCCCAGAGGCAGGGCCUCUAUUCAGGUGAUUUAACUGGAGAGGCUCAGGAAGGAGGCAGUUGAAGCAGGGAGCUAAUGGAGAUGUGGUCUCCACUAGAGUGAGCCCCAACCUGAUGGCAUGGGGGAGGGGAGUUCUGGAACAUGAAUAGCAUCACAGUUAGUCCCGCCUGAGGCUUAGGGUCGCCUUUUGUACCACCCUGUGAGUCUAUCAUCAGCCAAGUUCUGCCCAGGCGGAGGGAGCUUUUAUUUGACUGACCACAGAGCUCCAGGGAAGGGACAGCUGUGAGCCAUUAGCAGCAACCCUCUGCAGCGGGGGUCAGGUGAGCCUGCAGGAGAGAAGGAAAAUAAGCUGCUCUCCUCCCCAAAGCCUCGAAG